CCCUUAGAUGUUCUGGGCCGCACGCGCGCUACACUGACGAUGGCAACGAGUUUUUCCUUCGCCGAAAGGUGUGGGUAAUCUUUUGAAACAUCGUCGUGCUGGGGAUAGAUCAUUGCAAUUUUUGAUCUUGAACGAGGAAUUCCUAGUAAGCGCGAGUCAUCAGCUCGCGUUGAUUACGUCCCUGCCCUUUGUACACACCGCCCGUCGCUACUACCGAUUGAAUGGUUGAGUGAGGACUCCUGAUUGGCGCCGCCGCCCCGGCAACGGAGCAGCGGACUGCCGAAAAGUUGUUCAAACUUGAUCAUUUAGAGGAAGUAAAAGUCGUAACA
rnacentral:rRNA from 1 species